CACAUACUGACAACUGGUCUCUGAGGUCAUCAUGAUCAGAAACACAAUAACGAUGGCAGCAAGACUGCUCAAGGUCAUACUCCUCUGUGUUCUAGGUCUAAGUGAUGGAAGUGAUGUUACCCAGACCCCCCUGCUGUGGAAGGAACAAGGUCAAUCUGCCAUGAUGGACUGCAAUCACACUAAGGGUGCUGCUUUUUACCAGAUGUAUUGGUUCAGACAGCUACCAGAAGAAACAAUGAAAAAAGUCCUUUUCACUAUUCCAAACAUUAAGCCUGAUUAUGAACGUGGCUUCAGUGAGGAGAAACACACCGUCACUAAGCCUGAUGCUUUCAGUGGAAUGUUCACAGUCAAGAACUUGGUGCCAGAAGAUAACGGCUUGUAUUUCUGUGCUGGGGACCUCGAGUACCACAAAUACUCCCUGAUACACUGUGAUACAAUAUGUGGGUUUUGAUACACCAGCUGACAGGCAGCAGUGCUCCCAUUCAUGUCUCUGCAAGUCAGCCCCUCCCAUCACAUACUGACAACUGGUCUCUGAGGUCUUCAUGAUCAGAAACACAAUAACGAUGGCAGCAAGACUGCUCAAGGUCAUACUCCUCUGUGUU